CUUGACAUCCAGCGAACUUGGCAGAGAUGCCUUGGUGCCUUCGGGAACGCUGAGACAGGUGCUGCAUGGCUGUCGUCAGCUCGUGUUGUGAAAUGUUGGGUUAAGUCCGCAACGAGCGCAACCCUUAUCCUUUGUUGCCAGCGAUUCGGUCGGGAACUCAAAGGAGACUGCCGGUGAUAAACCGGAGGAAGGUGGGGAUGACGUCAAGUCAUCAUGGCCCUUACGAGUAGGGCUACACACGUGCUACAAUGGCGCAUACAAAGAGAAGCGACCUCGCGAGAGCAAGCGGACCUCAUAAAGUGCGUCGUAGUCCGGACCGGAGUCUGCAACUCGACUCCGUGAAGUCGGAAUCGCUAGUAAUCGUGGAUCAGAAUGCCACGGUGAAUACGUUCCCGGGCCUUGUACACACCGCCCGUCACACCAUGGGAGUGGGUUGCAAAAGAAGUAGGUAGCUUAACCUCCGGGAGGGCGCUUACCACUUUGUGAUUCAUGACUGGGGUGAAGUCGUAACAAGGUAGGCGUAGCGAG
rnacentral:rRNA from 1 species